AUUGAACGCUGGCGGCAGGCCUAACACAUGCAAGUCGAACGAGUUGCGGACGGGUGAUUAAUGUCUGGGAAACUGCCUGAUGGAGGGGGAUAACUACUUGAACCGGUAGCUAAUACCUCAUACUCUCGGAUGUGCCCCGAUGGGAUUAGCUAGUAGGUGGGGUAACGGCUCACCUAGUCGACGAUCCCUCGCUGGUCUGAGAGGAUGAUCAGCCAAACGGGAACUGAGACACGGUCCAGACUCCUACGGUAGGCAGCAGUGGGGAAUAUUGCACAAUGGGCGCAAGCCUGAUGCAGCCAUGCCGCGUGUAUGAAGAAGGCCUUCGGGUUGUAAAGUACGUUCAGCGGGGAGGCGUUACCCGCAGAAGAAGAACCGGCUAACUCCGUGCCAGCAGCCGCGGUAAUUC
rnacentral:rRNA from 1 species